UACGUAGGUGGCAAGCGUUGUCCGGAUUUAUUGGGUUUAAGGGGUGCGUAGGCGGGUAUUUAAGUCAGAGGUGAAAGACGGCCGCUCAACGGUCGCAGUGCCUUUGAUACUGGAUAUCUUGAGUGCAGACGAGGUCUGUGGAAUGGAUGGUGUAGCGGUGAAAUGCUUAGAUACCAUCCAGAACACCAAUUGCGAAGGCAGCAGACUAGGGUGCCACUGACGCUGAGGCACGAAAGUGCGGGGAUCAAACAGG
rnacentral:rRNA from 1 species